GUCAAUCACCCUGCCUGAAGGCGGAAGCUUGUAAAGUGACUUACAACGAGGUAGGCACAAAAGUGCUUUGCAAGGGUUGAUUAGGGGGCAAAAAUGAAACUUUAUGCAGAAGUUAGUUGUAAGAGAUACAUACACACCAUGGGAUACUCCCCUAGUCCCAUGCAACUGUG
rnacentral:sRNA from 30 species